rnacentral:tRNA from 1 species
GUAGUGCUAAGCUCAGUGGUAGAGCCCGUGCUUAGCAUGCAUGAGGUCUGGGGUUCAAUCCCCAGUACCUCC